rnacentral:miRNA from 2 species
UCGGGAAGGUAGUUGCGGCGGAU